rnacentral:misc_RNA from 1 species
CAUUCAGUAGCCUAGCUACUUGUUUAUACCCUUGUUUUUGCGUACCUAUUGUUUCCUCGGUGGGCUUGCCUGCCGGUUGGACAAACCUUAUAACCUUUUUAAAUCUUCAAUCAGCGUCUGAAUUAUACAUAAUAAUUA